CUGUCCCCCGUUUCCUUUCCGCCUUGUCUCUGGAUUCAGUGGUUCAACACCCGUGUCCUCUCUGUGUUCCACUGGCCAUCUUCCCCAACCCUGUCCAUUCAGAGUCUCAGUCCCUCUCCUUCCCUCUGGCUCUCCCUUCACCAACGCUGUCCCUCACCCCUGUCCCCUUAGUUUCCCCCUUGCCAGCCCCAGUUCCCACCCCCCUCACAGCCCAGUGUCCCCAGGGGAGAAGCCAUACGUUUGCACGGUGCCAGGCUGCGGGAAACGCUUCACCGAGUACUCGAGCUUGUAUAAGCACCACGUGGUGCACACACACUGCAAGCCCUACACCUGCAGCACCUGCGGCAAGACCUACCGGCAGACCUCCACCUUGGCCAUGCACAAGCGCAGUGCCCACGGCGAGCUGGAGGCCACGGAGGAGAGCGAGCAGGCCCUCUAUGAGCAGCAGCAGCUUGAGGCCGCCUCUGCAGCCGAGGAGAGCCCGCCACCCAAACGACCCCGGAUAGCUUACCUUUCGGAGGUGAAGGAAGAGAGUGAUGACAUCCCAGCCCAAGUGGCCAUGGUGACUGAAGAAGAUGGGACCCCCCAGGUGGCUCUGAUCACUCAGGAUGGUGCCCAGCAGGUCAGCCUGUCCCCGGAAGACCUGAAGGCCCUGGGGAGUGCCAUCAGUAUGGUCACCCAGCACGGCAGCACCACCCUCACCAUCCCCAGUCAUGAUGCCGACCUGGCCACAUCUGGCACACGUACAGUCACCAUGGUCAGCGCCGAUGGCACCCAGACGCAGCCCGUCACGAUCAUUACCUCUGGGGCUGUGGUGGCUGAGGACUCAAGUGUAGCAUCUCUUCGUCAUCAACAGGUGGCACUGUUGGCCACAGCCAAUGGAA
rnacentral:sRNA from 1 species